rnacentral:rRNA from 1 species
ACGGAGGGUGCAAGCGUUAUUCGGAAUUACUGGGCGUAAAGCGCGUGCAGGCGGGGAGGUAAGUCUGAUGUGAAAGCCCCGGGCUUAACCUGGGAAGUGCAUUGGAAACUGCCUAUCUUGAGUGCUGGAGAGGAAAGGGGAAUUCCCGGUGUAGAGGUGAAAUUCGUAGAGAUCAGGAGGAAUACCAGUGGCGAAGGCGCCCGUCUGGACGGCAACUGACGCUGAGACGCGAAAGCGUGGGUAGCAAACAG